rnacentral:rRNA from 1 species
CAGGACGAACGCUGGCGGCGUGCUUAACACAUGCAAGUCGAACGGAUUAGUGGGAGCUUGCUCCCGGCUAAGUGAGUGGCGGACGGGUGAGUAACGCGUGAACAAUCUGUCUCAUACAGGGGGAUAACGCAUCGAAAGAUGUGCUAAUACCGCGUAGGACCACGGUAUCGCAUGGUACUGAGGUGAAAGGAGCAAUCCGGUAUGAGGUGAGUUCGCGUCUGAUUAGAUAGUUGGUGAGGUAACGGCCCACCAAGUCAACGAUCAGUAGCCGACCUGAGAGGGUGAACGGCCACAUUGGGACUGAGACACGGCCCAGACUCCUACGGGAGGCAGCAGUGGGGAAUAUUGGGCAAUGGGCGCAAGCCCUGACCCAGCAACGCCGCGUGAAGGAAGAAGGUUUUCGGAUCGUAAACUUCUGUCCUAUGAGGAGAUAAUGACGGUAUCAUAGGAGGAAGCCCCGGCUAACUACGUGCCAGCCGCCGC